AUUGAACGCUGGCGGCAGGCCUAACACAUGCAAGUCGAGCGGAUGAAGGGAGCUUGCUCCUGGAUUCAGCGGCGGACGGGUGAGUAAUGCCUAGGAAUCUGCCUGGUAGUGGGGGAUAACGUCCGGAAACGGGCGCUAAUACCGCAUACGUCCUGAGGGAGAAAGUGGGGGAUCUUCGGACCUCACGCUAUCAGAUGAGCCUAGGUCGGAUUAGCUAGUUGGUGGGGUAAAGGCCUACCAAGGCGACGAUCCGUAACUGGUCUGAGAGGAUGAUCAGUCACACUGGAACUGAGACACGGUCCAUACUCCUACGGGAGGCAGCAGUGGGGAAUAUUGGACAAUGGGCGAAAGCCUGAUCCAGCCAUGCCGCGUGUGUGAAGAAGGUCUUCGGAUUGUAAAACACUUUAAGUUGGGAGGAAGGGCAGUAAGUUAAUACCUUGCUGUUUUUACGUUACCAACAGAAUAAGCACCGGCUAACUUCGUG
rnacentral:rRNA from 1 species